rnacentral:rRNA from 1 species
GUAGGUGGCAAGCGUUGUCCGGAAUUAUUGGGGCGUAAAGCGCGCGCAAGUGGUUCCUUAAGUCUGAUGUGAAAGCCCCCCCGGGCUCAACCGGGGGGAGGAUCAUUGGAAACUGGGGAACUUGAGUGCAGGAGAGGAAAGUGGAAUUCCACGUGUAGCGGUGAAAUGCGUAGAUAUGUGGAGGAACACCAGUGGCGAAGGCGACUUUCUGGCCUGUAACUGACACUGAGGCGCGAAAGCGUGGGGAGCAAACAGGAUUAGAUACCCUGGUAGUCCACGCCGUAAACGAUGAGUGCUAAGUGUUGGGGGGUUUCCGCCCCUCAGUGCUGCAGCUAACGCAUUAAGCACUCCGCCUGGGGAGUACGGUCGCAAAGACUG